CCUACGGGAGGCAGCAGUAGGGAAUCUUCCGCAAUGGACGAAAGUCUGACGGAGCAACGCCGCGUGAACGAUGAAGGCCUUCGGGUCGUAAAGUUCUGUUGUUAGGGAAGAACAAGUGCUAGUUAAAUAAGCUGGCACCUUGACGGUACCUAACCAGAAAGCCACGGCUAACUACGUGCCAGCAGCCGCGGUAAUACGUAGGUGGCAAGCGUUGUCCGGAAUUAUUGGGCGUAAAGCGCGCGCAGGCGGUUUCUUAAGUCUGAUGUGAAAGCCCCCGGCUCAACCGGGGAGGGUCAUUGGAAACUGGGAAACUUGAGUGCAGAAGAGGAAAGUGGAAUUCCAAGUGUAGCGGUGAAAUGCGUAGAGAUUUGGAGGAACACCAGUGGCGAAGGCGACUUUCUGGUCUGUAACUGACGCUGAGGCGCGAAAGCGUGGGGAGCAAACAGGAUUAGAUACCCUGGUAGUCCACGCUGUAAACGAUGAGUGCUAAGUGUUAGAGGGUUUCCGCCUUUAGUGCUGAAGUUAACGCAUUAAGCACUCCGCCUGGGGAGUCGGUCGCAAGACUGAAACUUAAAUGAAUUGACGGNUUGAGAGNGCGAGNGACGACGAGGAGAG
rnacentral:rRNA from 1 species